GGGGGCCUUGUGCUCCCGGGCCCGCGCCCGCCGAAGACCCCUCGAACGCUGCCCUGAAGGUUGCCGUCUGAGUAUAAAAUCAAUCAUUAAAACUUUCAACAACGGAUCUCUUGGUUCCGGCAUCGAUGAAGAACGCAGCGAAAUGCGAUAAGUAAUGUGAAUUGCAGAAUUCCGUGAAUCAUCGAAUCUUUGAACGCACAUUGCGCCCCCUGGCAUUCCGGGGGGCAUGCCUGUCCGAGCGUCAUUGCUAACCCUCCAGCCCGGCUGGUGUGUUGGGUCGACGUCCCCCCCCCGGGGGACGGGCCCGAAAGGCAGCGGCGGCGCCGCGUCCGAUCCUCGAGCGUAUGGGGCUUUGUCACGCGCUCUGGUAGGGUCGGCCGGCUGGCCAGCCAGCGACCUCACGGUCACCUAUUUUUUCUCUUAGGUUGACCUCGGAUCAGGUAGGGAUACCCGCUGAACUUAAGCAUAUCAAUAAGCGGAGGAAAAGAAACCAACAGGGAUUGCCCUAGUAACGGCGAGUGAAGCGGCAAGAGCUCAAAUUUGAAAUCUGGCUCCUCCGGGGUCCGAGUUGUAAUUUGCAGAGGAUGCUUCGGGUGCGGUCCCCGUCUAAGUACCCUGGAAUGGGUCGUCAUAGAGGGUGAGAAUCCCGUCUGGGACGGGUGGCCGUGUCCGUGUGAAGCUCCUUCGACGAGUCGAGUUGUUUGGGAAUGCAGCUCUAAAUGGGUGGUAAAUUUCAUCUAAAGCUAAAUAUUGGCCGGAGACCGAUAGCGCACAAGUAGAGUGAUCGAAAGAUGAAAAGCACUUUGAAAAGAGAGUUAAACAGCACGUGAAAUUGUUGAAAGGGAAGCGCUUGCGACCAGACUCGCCCGCGGGGGUUCAGCCGGUACUCGUACCGGUGUACUCCCCCGUGGGCGGGCCAGCGUCGGUUUGGGCGGCCGGUCAAAGGCCUCCGGAA
rnacentral:rRNA from 1 species